UUUCCUUUUUCUAAUUACUGAGAAGAAAUCCCAAGUUUCUCUCAUUAGGGGGCAAGUUAAUUAACCUCCAGUAUAUUCUGUUACUCUUGGAGUUAACCAGACCCCAACUGCUUCUUUUUGAUGUCAUUUUUUGGUUAUCCUGAGCCUGAGAUGGAGGUGGUGACUGGCACUGGCCACACUGAAACCCACAACUCAUCCCUCCUGGGACUUCAGUGGCACCAAGAUUUCAUGAGAGGAAGGGUUUGAUGGCACUGGAGAUGGGAACACUUCUGCUCACCACUCUCUCAGUCAGCACUCCACAGAGGAAAGUUUAGGAGGUGAAAUACAUCAUCACAAUGUACCACAGCCCCUAAAACCUAAUGGUGCUGUCAGAGCUCACUGCUGAACUUUGGUCCCCAGAAGGUGGGAGCUUCCCUCCUUGGAAGGAGCCCUUCCAAAAGCUGCCUCUGAGUUGCUAAGAAACAGCUUGUCACUGUGACAUGGGCUGUAGGCAGUUCUGUACAGACACAGAAUGGAAGCCCUUUGGACAGAGAAGCAA